GCUGGGCAUGAUGGCUCAUGCCUGUAAUCCCAGCACUUUGGGAGGCCGAGGCGGGUGGAUCACCUGAGGUCAGGAGUUCAAGAUCAGCCUGGCCAACAUGGCGAAACCCCGUCUCAC
rnacentral:sRNA from 1 species